UUUGAUAGAAUCGAACUUAUGUGAGACGUAAGGAAAGCUUUCUUAGGGACAUGGUUGGUUCUCUUAUGGGUACAUAACUCCUUAAGACACUUAGCAUAUGAAGGAAUUUGUUGAAUUGCAUCUAAAAGGGGUAUGUUGACCUUGACUUGCUUAAACACUUCCAAAAUCUUCUCCAUUUGAGCCGAUUGCUUCGGUGAAAUAAGUCUUUGAGGGUAAGGGACUCUUGGUUUAUAGACUACUUCACUUUGCAACUCGGGUUCCGGGUUUGGGUCACUCGACUCCUCACGGGCUUUUGAAC
rnacentral:lncRNA from 1 species